UGGGGAAUAUUGGACAAUGGGCGAAAGCCUGAUCCAGCCAUGCCGCGUGUGUGAAGAAGGUCUUCGGAUUGUAAAGCACUUUAAGUAGGGAGGAAGGGCAGUAAGCGAAUACCUUGCUGUUUUGACGUUACCGACAGAAUAAGCACCGGCUAACUCUGUGCCAGCAGCCGCGGUAAUACAGAGGGUGCAAGCGUUAAUCGGAAUUACUGGGCGUAAAGCGCGCGUAGGUGGUUCGUUAAGUUGAAUGUGAAAGACACGGGCUCAACCUGAGAACUGAAUGCAAAACUGGCGAGCUAGAGUAGGGCAGAGGGUGGUGGAAUUUACUGUGUAGCGGUGAAAUGCGUAGAUAGAGGAAGGAACACCAGUGGGGAAGGAGAGCACCUGGGCUAAUACUGACAGUGAGGUGCGAAAGCGUGGGGAGCAAACAGG
rnacentral:rRNA from 1 species